rnacentral:rRNA from 1 species
UACGUAGGGGGCAAGCGUUGUCCGGAUUUAUUGGGCGUAAAGAGCUCGUAGGUGGUUCGGUAAGUCGGGUGUUAAACCCCCAGGCUCAACCUGGGGACGCCACUCGAUACUGCUGUGACUAGAGUCCGGUAGGGGAGCGUGGAAUUCCUGGUGUAGCGGUGAAAUGCGCAGAUAUCAGGAGGAACACCGGUGGCGAAGGCGGGUCUCUGGGCCGAUACUGACGCUGAGGAGCGAAAGCGUGGGGAGCGAACAGG